rnacentral:rRNA from 1 species
UACUCCUACGGGAGGCAGCAGUGGGGAAUCUUCCGCAAUGGACGAAAGCCUGACGGAGCAACGCCGCGUGAGUGAUGACGGCCUUCGGGUUGUAAAGCUCUGUUAAUCGGGACGAAAGGCCUUCUUGCGAAUAGUGAGAAGGAUUGACGGUACCGGAAUAGAAAGCCACGGCUAACUACGUGCCAGCAGCCGCGGUAAUACGUAGGUGGCAAGCGUUGUCCGGAAUUAUUGGGCGUAAAGCGCGCGCAGGCGGAUAGGUCAGUCUGUCUUAAAAGUUCGGGGCUUAACCCCGUGAUGGGAUGGAAACUGCCAAUCUAGAGUAUCGGAGAGGAAAGUGGAAUUCCUAGUGUAGCGGUGAAAUGCGUAGAUAUUAGGAAGAACACCAGUGGCGAAGGCGACUUUCUGGACGAAAACUGACGCUGAGGCGCGAAAGCCAGGGGAGCGAACGGGAUUAGAUACCCCGGUAGUCCUGGCCGUAAACGAUGGGUACUAGGUGUAGGAGGUAUCGACCCCUUCUGUGCCGGAGUUAACGCAAUAAGUACCCCGCCUGGGGAGUACGACCGCAAGGUUGAAACUCAAAGGAAUUGACGGA